CAGUCGCCGCGGUAAGACGAACCGUGCAAACGUUACUCGGAAUCACUGGGCUUAAAGCGCACGUAGGCGGCGACAUAAGUUAGAGGUGAGAUCCCAUCGGCUCAACCGUGGAACUGCCUCUAAUACUGUGUUGCUUGAGGGAGAACGGGGCAUUCGGAACUUCCGGUGGAGCGGUGAAAUGUGUUGAUAUCGGAAGGAACGCCGGUGGCGAAAGCGGAAUGCUGGGUCUCUUCUGACGCUGAGGUGCGAAAGCUAGGGGAGCAAAUGGGAUUAGAUACCCCCGUAGUCCCUGUCUCUUAUA
rnacentral:rRNA from 1 species